rnacentral:rRNA from 1 species
UACGUAGGGGGCGGGCGUUGUCCGGAAUUACUGGGUGUAAAGGGCGUGUAGGCGGGUUAUCAAGUCAGAUGUGAAAUUCCAGGGCUCAACCCUGGCGCUGCAUCUGAAACUGAUGAUCUUGAGUACUGGAGAGGGAAGCGGAAUUCCUAGUGUAGCGGUGAAAUGCGUAGAUAUUAGGAGGAACACCAGUGGCGAAGGCGGCUUUCUGGACAGUAACUGACGAUGAGGCGCGAAAGCGUGGGGUGCGAACAGG